GAUGAACGCUGGCUGCGUGCCUAAUACAUGCAAGUCUAUCGAACAGACGAGGAGCUUGCUCCUCUGACGUUAGCGGCGGAUGGGUGAGUAACACUUGGAUAACCUACCUAUAAGACUGGGAUAACUUCGGGAAUCCGGAGCUAAUACCGGAUAAUAUAUUGAACCGCAUGGUUCAAUAGUUAAAGACGGUUUUGCUGUUACUUAUAGAUGGAUCCGCGCCGCAUUAGCUAGUUGGUCAGGUAACGGCUUACAAAGGCAACGAUGCGUAGCCGACCUAAGAGGGUGGUCGGCCGCACUGGAACUGAGACGCGCUCCAGCCUCCUGCGGGAGGCAGCAGUAGCGAAUCUUACGCAGUGGGCGGGAGCAUGACGGAGCAGCGGCGCGUGAGUGGUGGGGGUCUUCGGAGCGGCAAACUGUGUUAUUGGGGAGGAACGAAUGUCUACGGAACCAUGCACGUCUGGACGGUACCUACUCAGAAAGCCACGGCUAACUACGUG
rnacentral:rRNA from 1 species